GCACCAACAUCGAGAAAACUCAGAUUGGCAGACGGGAAGCUAAAGGGCUGUAUAUUUGCGAGCCGUAGAACUCCUGUAAUAUUCAAUUGUUAGUGAGUGUACGUUUACAUCCGUGUAAGGUAGAAGAUGACAUUAUACCAUGCGUCCUUACACAUUUUGAAGAUUAACUGGAAAUAGUUGAGAUGUAAGCUACUCUGGAACCUACUCUUCAGUUUGCAUUGUGUGGCAAUUGACACAACCAAGCAAUCUAAAUCUAAAAAGGCAUGUGCCACUAAUUAAACCAACAAGGACAACAAAUCCCCUUAGAGUGCUUCGCCUUUCCCCAUGGUGAUGGAUGAAACAUGGAUUUUACAUGUGCUACUUCAUCUUUAUCCCCCAAGGAAACAAGACGCUAUGGGACAUUAUAAUACAGUUCCUUAAUAUGAACUUUAAAAAGUAGCAUUUUAAUGCAGAUUCAUUUUUGCUGUUUUUUUAUGUAAUGUAACUAUUAGGGGUGUAAAUAAAUACCUUUUAUUGAGCAUACAAUAUAG